CUUCCAAAGGCCCUUGUAGCUCUGAGAUGCUGUUAUUCUAGAAUAACUUCGAGGUCCAAACUAAUCAGUCCAUGAGGAUUUAACUUGCUAUUUGUUAGGCUCUGCGAAGUGGGGAUCAAGUGGUGAAUACGAUUGCCGUUUCAGAGACGGCCAAGCCGAAAGGGAAAGAACCCUGCUCUUUUAUUCCAACAGACGGGAAAAUAAAUUGAAACUCAAGAAAAAGAAAGGAGUUAUCCAAGGUCACAGGUGCUACUUGGGGGCCUUUCCAGCCUUGGCCGGAGGGAAGAGGAAGGAAACUCAGGGGGCUCCAAGAACCCCAGAGGACGGGAGGAGAGGGACCUCACGCUGCGAGCCCCAGAACCGCAGCCUGGGGCGGGAGCCGGACCGGGCGCUCCAAUGCCUGGAACAAUCCUGCCGGGAGUUCUCUCCCAGAAUCCUCCGCGCGAUGCAAAUGAGAGCGUCUUUU